ACGCUCGACACCUACGGGAGGUAGCAGUGGGGAAUAUUGCACAAUGGGGGAAACCCUGAUGCAGCGACGCCGCGUGAGCGAAGAAGUAUUUCGGUAUGUAAAGCUCUAUCAGCAGGGAAGAAACUGACGGUACCUGACUAAGAAGCACCGGCUAAAUACGUGCCGGCAGCCGCGGUAAUCUGAGCGGGCUGGCAAGGC
rnacentral:rRNA from 1 species